UCCGGCUUAUCACCGGCAGUCCCCUUAGAGUGCCCAACUAAAUGAUGGCAACUAAGGGCGAGGGUUGCGCUCGUUGCGGGACUUAACCCAACAUCUCACGACACGAGCUGACGACAGCCAUGCAGCACCUGUCUCCGGUCCAGCCGAACUGAAGGGUUCCAUCUCUGGUACCCGCGACCGGGAUGUCAAGAGUAGGUAAGGUUCUUCGCGUUGCUUCGAAUUAAACAACAUGCUCCACCGCUUGUGCGGACCCCCGCCAAUUCCUUUGAGUUUCAAUCUUGCGAUCGUACUUCCCAGGUGGGAUACUUAAUGCUUUCGCUCAGACACACACUGUGUAUCGCGUAUGUCGAGUAUCCAUAGUUUAGGGCGUGGACUAC
rnacentral:misc_RNA from 1 species